rnacentral:rRNA from 1 species
CCCAUAUGGUCGACCUGCAGGCGGCCGCACUAGUGAUUCCGGUGAAUUAUUCGGACUGACGCAGUGCUCAGCUUCUGGACGUUGCGUCGGAAAGUUUCAUGACCCUUAUCACUUAGAGGAAGGAGAAGUCGUAACAAGGUUUCCGUAGGUGAACCUGCGGAAGGAUCAUUCG